rnacentral:RNase_MRP_RNA from 1 species
UUCCGUGUUUGGCAAAAUGUACAUCCGCCAGGGUAUCACCGUAUUUCUCG